GCAAAGGGCAGGACGCUGACACAACAGUCAGCCCGCCUCUGCGCCCCUCCCUCCUCCUGCACCAGGGCGCGCUGCCAGCACAUCUCUCCCCCCAGCUCCCCUGGGGGAGGGCCAGAAGCUUUACAUUACACCACUGGUUUACACCCUGAGAAACGUCGCGGGAGCUGCAAAAUACACUUUGAAGCAACUUUCUAAAAGGCACAUCUAUAUUUACCAAUGUGUUCCACAUGAUUAAACUGUGAAAUUUGUCUCCAGUUUGGCAAUACCUUUGAGAGAUGUUGUGCGGUUUAGGAAGAAAAUGCCUGUGAAGUGCCUGAAGUCCCACGAAGGGAAAGCACCAUACACAUCCGAGGUGCUGUUACAUGCCUCGGUGCUAAAGUGGUGCAACAGCAAAUAGAAUAGCUGAAUCCAAGACACCUGAGGACAUAAAACUUAAAAUUCUCUCUUUUGCACAUCCUAAAGAAUGGAUCGGGGUACUAGCUUCAAGAAGAUACAGUUUGAGUAAGAGUCUGCUCGGUGCCUUGCAACUUUGAUAUACCUCUCCAUACAAAGAAGAGAUAGAUCAAUAUUACAUACUGUGAAUUUAAAGGAGAACCAAUUAAUCAGAAAAACACCUUUACUCAUCUUCAAACUACUUAUUAGAAAAAAUUAAACACAAAUAAAUUGAUAAUCUGAAAAUGAUCCAAGUUUGCUAUUGGACAUCUGUUUUCUAAGCAGAGCAAAUUUUAUGGUACAGAAGAAUUACUGGAGAACUUGCUAUACUGCAGAUUCUGGGGCUCUACCUUAAGAGAUUCCACUUGAAUUUGGUACGU